rnacentral:rRNA from 1 species
UACGGAGGAUCCGAGCGUUAUCCGGAUUUAUUGGGUUUAAAGGGUGCGUAGGCGGAUUGGUAAGUCAGUGGUGAAAGCCUGUAGCUUAACUACAGAAUUGCCUUUGAUACUGCUAAUCUUGAGUACAGUUGAAGUAGGCGGAAUGUGUCAUGUAGCGGUGAAAUGCAUAGAUAUGACACAGAACACCGAUUGCGAAGGCAGCUGGCUACACAAAUAUUGACGCUGAGGCACGAAAGCGUGGGGAUCAAACAGG